rnacentral:lncRNA from 1 species
UCUAUAUAUAUUCAAUAUAAUUUAAUAUAAUAUCGGUAAAAAUGUAUAGAAUUUAUCUAAAUUAUGGACUAUUCUGAGUUGGCUAUUCAAUCUUUCAAAAUUGUUAUUUUUUUAAAUAACAUCUUGGUUUCAAAUUUAAGUUAACUGUUUACUUUAAUAAAUUGAUAGUUGCGAGAAUUAUAUGAAGUACUAUAUAUAUUUAUAUAUAUACUUAUAGAGUCCCGCUGGGAUACUAUCAAUAGCACGGGGCAUUUGGUGCUAUCAAGCUCUUUUAUCAUUUUCAUCCGUUCGAUUAUACUAUUCAACUAACUACCUACUCAACCCUAGGGGGCCCACAUCAUCCUAACCGCACAUCCUUUAAUCUAAGAGCAGAAAACUUAAUAGUAUCAAGUCAUUGGUGCUAUUAAUAGUAUUCCAGUCUGAUUACUAUACUAUCGAUAAAACCAAACUCUUGGUACUAUCAAGCUUUCUACCGUCCGAUCUAUCCUUUGAUCAUUUGCACAUGUUAGAUUAUACUAUUCAAUCAACAACCCAUCCAACCUUAUGGGACCAUUAUCAUCCUAACCGGAAACCACUAUCAUCUUAACGGCACAUCCUUUCAUCUAACGGCCGAAAACUCGAAGUACCAAGUGCCCUGUACAAUCGAUAGUAUAGUAGCAUAAUUCAUAUACAGUACGGCUACUAUACUCUUAUAAGUACGAUUAUCUUCAUACUCGUAAAUCGUUUCAAUGGCAGAGUUUCUAAAUUGGUGAUCCAUAUAUUUAAAUAUUAUCUAGAGCAUUUAAAAUUUAUAGAAAUCAAAUUUUAUAAUUUUUUGAUAUCAUUUACCUUAUGAUCAAAAAAUUUCAAAAUUGGCAAUUUUUAACCAUUGGUAUGAAAUACUUGCUAGUUUAAUGAUGUAAAAAAAUCAGAAUCGGUUGAAUUUGUGAUAGAAAAUUUUAUUUACUAUCUAGAUAAAGAUUAAUAACUUCGAUCCUAAAUUGAACGAUUCGAUUAUCAAUUUUUAGAACGUCAUUCGAUUUUAACUGUUCAUUUUUAUGCCCGCUUGAUGAAUUUUAUUAUGAUUUCGAAAAACUACGAAAUUUAUUGUUUGAAAGUUUCAAAUACUUUAAGGGUGCGUUUGGUUCGAGUUAUCCUGGCAGGAUUGGCAAUCCUGCCAGGAUAACUGUGUUUGGUUAAUCCGCUAUAUAAUCUAGUCGUUAAUGUAGCAUUACAAAUCGAACAGGAUCACAUCAAAAAUAUUAACGGGAGGGGGGUCGUAUAUCUUGCAUUACUGAAACCCGUUAAUACUACAUAUUAUGUAAAAUGACAAUUUUACCCUCCAACAACCCCAAAUCUAAUUAAAAGCAUUAUUUUCAUCUCUCUCUCGUCUUCCCCCCGGCCUUCUCUCUCGCACGCUACUUUCUCUCGCUCUCUCUCUCUCUCUCUCUCUCUCUCGCACGAACACCUAUCAUCUUCUAUUGCGUCGUCCUCCCAAGUAAUCAUCACGAUCUCCUUCCCUCCAUUCGUCAUUUCUGUAAAAAAUAAUAUUCAAAUGACCACAACAAGGACAAUUUUGAAAAAAAACUAUAUUUUUAUGUCAGGAUUACUAAAUUUUAUAAACUGAACCAAACAUAUUAAUGCUAAACACUGUAAUCUAGUAUUGCAUUACUGUAUUAAACCAAACGCGCUAAUGUAGCAUCAGUAGUAAUCUCACGCCGAAAUUCAAGAUAUCUGGAUAUGUCGAGAUACUUUGUAAUAUUACAUAGCUCGAACCAAACGGGCCCUAAAUCAUAUUUAACGUAGUGGAUCGUCGAUUCGAAAAUUUUAUCAUCGAAAAUAAUUUAUAUGAGCACAAUGAGCUCUACACUAAUAAGAGUAUAGUCGAUUCGAAAAUUUUAUCAUCGAAAAUAAUUUAUAUGAGCACAAUGAGCUCUACACUAAUAAGAGUAUAAUAGCUCUACCUCUAUAUAAUAUAUAUAAAUAUAAUAUGUAUAUAUAAAAUAUAAAUAUAUAUAUAUA